CACCCAGGUGUCGGCGGGCUAAGCCGCCCUGCGGUGCUCGCCGGCUCGGUCCAGGGGUGGCUGCCAGGCCUGGCCCCCUCGCCAAGGCGUCCCAGCAGCCGAGCACGUGCGGUCCUGGCUGUCAGGUGCCGUCAAGCGGGCCUCUCUCGCCGCAGGCAGGCACCGUCGCAGCGCUGGGGCGGCGCCCGGUUUCCCCUGCGAGGUGCAGGCAGGAGCCUCCAUUUCAUGCCAUGGUGCUUCGAGGACCGUACCAGCCUUGCAGUACCACAACAUGGACUGAGCUGGAGGCAUCUAAAGGCAUCAACACAGAGCACUAACAAGAACGAUGUAACAGCUCAGCUGUUCCAUCUUAACCGCUCCUAACAAGCAGGCCCUUGGUGCCUCUGACCGGUGACAAAAUGGCCUGCCAACCUCUACUAGAGACUGUGCUGCUGUUAAGAGGUCUUCAGAACCAGACUCUCCAGGGAACUGCUUCCCACCAGGAACAAGACUACAGUCAUCUUCGUGAAGAAGAAAAAAAAACGGACAGGGCAAAUGGCUGAGAAAUACACCAGACCAACCACCAAUUCUCAAGUCCGUAAGGCAUUUUAUUUGGACCUGUUUCUUCAAGCAGUCACAGUGAUUUUUAGGCUCAAGAGCAAGUGCUGCAUGCUGGGAGAAGGCCGUCUACAGCCACAGCAAAGGUCACGCCACAGCCCGCCAGCCAGUGGCCUAGCAGACAGGACAGACUCUACUUUCUCAUUCGACAUGGUCUAUCUAGCGAGCAAGGGAUGACCGCCUCAUCAGUGCACACACUCACUGCCUCUGAGGUCCAUACAUUCCCACACAGCCAAUGGCGAGAGAAACUGAGGGCUGAACACUUAAGCAAAUGUGUAAGAUUCACAAGUCGACAUGCUGUACAAAUCCCAGGAAAGAGGCUGGCUAGAAGGUGCACACAACGUAAGAAAGCCUUAAUUUUCUCCUCCUUCCUAAGAAGCAGUUUUUGGUUUCACUAAAGCCCUAGUGAGCCCUAGGAAGGUAGGUAGGGGUAAAAAUAGUAUCAUUUGAAACAAAUUCCAUAAUGAAGGCUUUUUUCUUCUUAUGUAGCCUUAGGUGGCCUGCAAGUCAUAGAAUCUACCUGCUGCCCAAGCUCCAGGAUGAAAGUCUGUGAUACACAGGUUAUAGGUAGUUCUGGUGCUGGAACUCUACAUUGAGACCAGACAAAGAGUAGGAGGAAGAGCCUUUCUUCACCAGGUGAUAUAUAUGGACAGGUUGGGAAGAGGCCCUGAGGGGGUUGGCAUGAUCUUACAGUCUGCGACGAGGGCUCUGAGCUGCCUGGUUUUCCCAUUACUGACAACCAAGUCUGUUACAUUCCAACCUCACUAGUGUCACAGGGGUCAGCUGUCCUGUGUUAGAAAUGCAUUUUCCCAGUCUUCCUUGUACUACCAAUCCUAACACAGGCUAGACUCUUGUCCACAGCUUCUGGGAAUUAUGAUAGCAAGCAUGUUCCAUCCACCAUACUGACAUACAAUCUUGGGAGGCAAGCUUUUGAUCUGGCAGACUCACAACAGACAAACUGUAUUGUUCUUGGCAGGACGCCCGCAGUCCUGACUAAGCAUUGGGGAAGCCACACCGCCAGUGGGCUGGGCCUGUGCAGUAGGGGAAACAGGAAAAGUUUGUGUGGUUUGGUCAUCACUUGAGGGCAGAGUGAAGAAAGCUCACUAUUUGCUACUAGGAAUCCUGACUGGGGUGAGCAUGGGAGGGUAUCCCUUGUACUGGGGUAGGCCACAUCUGUCAUCAAGGAGUCUAAGCUGUACAAUAUCAGCAGAGGGCGCUGGAGGGACACUGUAGGGUCAGGAAAGGAUAAGCUAUUGGCCUGGAGCACAUUUGUCUGUAAUAACCUCCUCAUACAGGGAGGUCUGACAACUCUAUAAGAGAUCCUAUCUUGGUCACUAUUUCAUCAAGUUAAAAAUCUUGCAGAUGUCAGCACUUUCACAUCAAUCCUUUCCUCACCAUUCAUGGUGCGGAUGCCACUGCAGAAGACCCUGCAGACAAGACGUUUGCCACCCACCCACUCCAUCAUACACCAUUUUAAGCCAGCACUCACUACCUUAGGUAUCCAGCUGUACUGUCUUCUAUAUCCAAUGUAUAGAAGAGAAAGAUUAUAAAAAAAAGUGUGUGUAUGAGAGAGAGCGCGCGCAACACCCAAUGAAUGAAGACAAACCAAUACUUCCAGUACUUAGGAAAUUAAAGUCAGCCUGAGGAAACUCACAAACCCCAUCUCCAAGCACAGAGAUGCUUGAGAUUGGACUCUGGGUUCCAUUUCUCCACGAAGGAAUCCAGCCUAUCACUGCAACUAACAGAGCAGACUCACAAAUGUUAUAACAGAACCAGCCCUUGGAGAGCACAGGAGAGGACAGGCCACUCACUACCUCCCAAGCUGAGUGUGCAAACAUGGAUGGUUUGAUACCACACCACAGCAAAAGAGGCCUCCACAGAUGAUAGGGACUUCCCUCCACCCUCCUAAGCAGUACAAGGUUCACCACUUGCCUUAUUAAUAGCAAGACUUCAGAGAAAUGUGUGGCCAUUUCAGAGGCUGUAUUUCAAUCUUAUAAAUGGUAAAACACAUGCACACAUAUGGAUAUUCAGGUCUGAUGUGGUCUUCUCUGGUUGUGUCCUGAUGAGCCCCGCGGAACUGUGCUGUCCCUCCCUCCCUCCACUCAGCCUCUGCAUUACGGCAGAACACUAUUCACAUGUGUUGACCAUAGAUACCCACAUUAUCUCUGCUUUUCCUUAGAAACAUCUGUGAAGAAGGAACAUCCAUCCCAGUCACUUCUUCAUGUAAGUGUCUACAAAUCUCCCACCCUAAAACACACAAAGUCUGCAUCAAGCCAUAGUGCUGACUUAAAUCUAGGCACAGAUAAGCCACUUAGCUAAUCCUCAUCUCUGCCUGGAUCCUGUGAGCAUGGUCCAGUCAGCAUCUUGGCCUCAGUGCGAGGAGGUACCAGAUAUCUCCUCUGUCAUUUUGGUGUUCUACUGCCCCCAUGGGCCUUUAAAAAAGGGGGAAGGAGAGAGAAAAGAGUGGGGUCCUGUCUGCAUACAAGGAUCAUCACAUGCAGAAGAUUGCAAGCCAGUUCUCCUUGAGCAGUCCAAGACAGAGUCAGACCUAGAACCCCACCCCAGGCUUGUUCCUGUUCUGCACUCUUAGAAAGAGUCCCUAGGUUCUGCAGCAGCCCAUGUGCCCUGGAAGCUAUGGGAAAGCAUCUUUGCUCUGUAUGAACUUCUGUAUACCCAGGCAUGGGGAGCCAUCACCUAGAGGCCUGUCUCUUGCCUGGAUUGGUAUUAUCCUGGGCUGGGCUGCGCUGCACAGACUGGUGCAUAGCUACGGCAGGACUGCUCUGUGGAUGCAGUGUUAGGCCCAGUGUGUACGGUACCUGUGU